rnacentral:rRNA from 1 species
AUGAACGCUGGCGGCGUGCCUAAUACAUGCAAGUCGAGCGAACAGACGAGGAGCUUUCUCCUCUGACGUUAGCGGCGUACGGUUUAUUAACACGUGGAUAACCUACCUAUAUGACUGGGAUAACUUCGGGAAACCGGAGCUAAUACCGGAUAAUAUAUUUAACCUCAUGGUUCAAUAGUGAAAGACGGUUUUGCUUUCACUUAUAGAUGGAUCCGCGCCGCAUUAGCUAGUUGGUAAGGUAACGGCUUACCAAGGCAACGAUGCGUAGCCGACCUGAGAGGGUGAUCGGCCACACGGGAACUGAGACACGGACCAGAAUACUACGGGAGGCAGCAGUAGGGAAUAUACCGCAAGGGGCGAAAGCCUGACGGAGCAACGGCGCGGGAGAGAUGAAGGUAUUCGGAUCGUAAAACUCUGUUAUUAGGGAAGAACAAAAGUGUAAGUAACUAGGCACGUCUUGACGGUAACUAAUCAGAAAGCCACGGCUAACUACGUG